rnacentral:lncRNA from 1 species
UGUUGUCGUCAGAGUUUAAUCCAUGGGAUGAUUCAUAUUCGACUGCUAACAAUUUUGUUAGGAUGCUUAGGGAAUCUGAAAAUAAUGAUGUUAAUUUCACUGCGCCUUCAUGGAAAUCAGGAACUGCGAGCAAAGAGUCCAGAUUUUCAUUUGCUAGACAGGAUAACCAAGGGAACUUGUUAGAUUCAUCUCUCAGAAACUGUGGCACUGUUACUGAGCAGAAUUUCAGUUUGCUGCCCCAGAAUUCUCGAGGAAAUAUUUACCAGAAUGGCCUUGCAUUCCAAUCUCUAGAAAAUGAUUUUUCCAAUGGCAACUCUCUUGGUGUAUUAGAUAUGGCAACUGCUGGUGAGUACUAUGAUACCUUUUCACUACUUUGCCUGACUGAGCAGAAUGAUAGGCACUGUAAAUAAAAAAAAAUGAUAGGUAUUGUAAUUGAAUGAACUUUCUAUGUGCUGCACUUAUUUUUCAUUCAGAAUUGAUAAAGAUAUUCUGACUCAUGCAAAUAGAUUGUUAAUCUGUUGGUGCUUAUUAUGUGAUUUUUAUGUUUACCAGUGAUAAGUUUAUGUGCUUACGAAGAAUUUGCUUUCUCAGGUACAUCGAGGUCUAAAAUAUCUGCUCCCCCAGGAUUUUCAGCACCAGCAAGAGUCCCCCCUCCUGGAUUUUCUUCUGUGUUUCCAUCCCAGGAUAGUUUGAACCCCACUCCUGGGUUUCCUUCUGGAAUUUCGUCUCAUGAUGGGUCUGUCCCCCUACCCAGAUUUUCUGCAUUUUCUUCUGGAAUUUCAUCUCAGGAAGUGUCUAAGCCCCCUACUAGAUUGCCUUCUCCAUUUUCUUCUGGAUUUUCAUCUCAGGAUGGACCUAAUACCUCUUCUAGGUUCCCUUCUGCAUUUUCUUCAGGACUUCCAGCACAGGAUGGUCCUAAUCCUCCUUCUAGAUUUACUUCUGCAUUUUCUUCUGGAUUUUCAUCACAGGAUGGGUCUAAUCAGUCAUAUGGCUCAACAUACCAAGGUUUGUUUCCUGUCUCAGUAUUUUUUCCUUGUUUUCCUAUAACUAGUUUGAUUUCUCAUGCCUUUUGCGGUUCUCCACAGACAAUCUUCUCCGGGAUACUGUUUUGGGUGGCAACAGUAAUCAUUACCAAUCUCAGUUUGGAAGGCACACAAGUGAUAUGGAGUUUGAUGAUCCUGCUAUAUUAGCUGUGGGCAAAGGGCUGAUGCCUGGAAUUGGUGGUCCAGAGCUGGAGAUGAAAAAUACCCCUGCUUUUCAAGCACAGUUGCAAUCAGCAAGUAGUGAUCCAAGGUUUCAGUUACAUGUACAGCCAAAUGUGCAGUCUCAUCAAAACCUGAGAUUCUCAGACCCUAUGCAGGAUGGCUUGAACCAUAUGAAUGAUAAUUACCUGGCAUCCAGAUUUUUAGCUCAGAACCAUGGUCCUGUAUCCCCUUAUGCUCAGAUUCCGCAACAACCCAGAAACUCCCAGGUUACAAAUGGUCAUUGGGAUGGGUGGAGUGAUUCCAGACAAGGGAAUAACACUGCUAUGUCAGACAUGUCGAGGAUGUUAUAUCCAAGUGACGUGAACAAGUUGCACAUGCUGGGUUCAAAUGAUAUCUAUAACAGAGCAUUUGGAAUGUGAUUCCCUUGGAUAAUGUGCGACUUUGUGCUGACAUGUUCAAACUUGGGCAUUUUGUGGAAGUAACUGGUUGCAAAAACACAUAGUAUACCUGAGGUGAAUAGUGGUGUUGUCAGUUGUGCUUAUGAGCUGGUACAUGAGUAUUUAUUGCUAUUGGAAUUGACCAAAAUGAACAUUGAGUUCUGGUCCAGCCAUUUGAAAUUACCAGGUGCCAUUGGUUAGUUUUUUUUUUUCUGUUGUUGUUAGCAAGAGCAGGUGUAUAUGUAUUGGUGCACAAACAAGCUGAAAACUGACCUUCCUUUUGGUUUAUUUGUUGAUGAUCAGGUUCAUUCUCUUCUAUGAUUUGAGAAGCUUGAGUGAGAAGAAAAAUUUUGUGCCGAGAACAAAGCAGCUGAAGCUGAAAUAGAUAGAGAUAUGUCUAUAAUGUGGUGUAGUGACUUGUGAGUGAAAGAGAUUAAGAAGCUUAGGUGGGCUUGGCUUGAUGGUAGUUUGUUUUCUUGUGUCUGUACAUGAUGGUUUUGGUCGGUGUUGUAGUAACUUGGUGAUCGGUGGCUGUAUUAACCUGUAGUGGCUGCUCUUGUUCCCUCCUGUUUGUGGCUGCCUGACGAGUUGCAUGCGUUUUGCACAGGGAAUUGUGUUUAUUUAUGUUAAUUAAGGGAAUUGAGGCGAAGGUUUACAAGAAAGUCAAAUUUGUCAGUGCUACCCAUGGUAUAAUGGUAUAAUUAAUAUUAUACGAUAGCUGCACUUGUUUCUUUGCUAGCAUUACUUCAUUUGUUUCAACAACAACAAAUUUUUUUUUAAAAAAAAUCCAUUAACCUGUCUCAAAAACAAACACUAUGCUUCGAUUUGUCUGCCAAAACUUUGUAUGCUUAGUCUCCAGUUAGCUAAACAUAAUAAAUUCUUACGCAUUACAUACAGCUCAGGGACUGGGUGGUUCUCAAGGCAGUUAGUUUCCCCUACAUACAACUUGGGGACUCGGUGGUUCUCACGCUACAUGAAUGAAACGGACUCAAGACUGGUAACCCAGUCCCAUAUAUACGUAGGUACAUAUACAUACAAAUAAGGCUGCGGGCUGCUGCAAUAUUCUCAAUUUCUCAUCUCAUCUGAGACCUGGCCGCAUGAGCAGCUCGUCGAAGGAUGCUCCGUUCUGCUCCAAGUCUACUGCCACACUACCUGAAUUGUUGUUGGCGGAUGACGAGGCACCACCCAUGGACCUGUUGCUGUUGGACACAAGCAGCUGCUGCUGGAUGGUACAGCGCUGCAUCUCCUGGGGUCCCCGCUCGAUGGCAAUGGCGUCCUGGAUCUCCUUGAGCACCUCUGAAAUGGGAGGCCUCUGCGCGCCCUUGGGCUUCACACACAUUAUGGCCACCUCCGCGAUCUUCCACACCGACUGCAGGUCAUAGCCUCUGUCCAAUGAUUCAUCAACGAUGGCGUGGAUGUUCCCGCUCUCGAUGUGCGAUCGGGCCUGCCAGGUUCAUUCGUUUAAUUUAGUUUUUGCAUCCGUUGCUUUUGCUUCAGCAGAAACUCACUGAUGGAACAGGAAGCAAAACUGAUGCUAGUACUGUUCACUUCUUACCCAAGCAACAAUGUUACGGCAGUUGAGCCCAAAGUUGUCGUUUGAGAUUGGUUCAUGGCCAGAGAUGAGCUCCAGCAGAAUCACGCCGAAGCUGUAGAUGUCGCUCUUCUCUGUCAGCUGCUGCGAGAUGUAGUACCUAUCCACACCAAAACAUAAUCGAUUCUUUGAGACAGAAUGAUAUAAAACACCUCAGUCAGAUAGUUUGGCCUUACUCUGGGUCCAGGUAACCCACUGUUCCUCGAACUAUACUUGACACAUGAGACCCAUCCACUGCAGGUUUCGAUAGCCCAAAGUCUGCAACUUUUGCUCUCAUGUUCUUGUCUAGGAGAAUGUUGCUGCUCUUCAAGUCUCUAUGGAUGAUUGUCGGGGAGCAUCCUGUGUGGAGAUACUCUAUACCUGAGUUUUGCAAUUUCACAUUCAGAAUCAGAACCGUGGUGGCUAAUUUCUCCAUGUUCAGUAUACAAGUAGUGAAUUGUGAAACCAGCAGACCACAAACCUUUCGCAGAAUCUUCUGCAAUCUCAAGACGCUUCAGCCAGCUAGUUAUCUUUACAUUAUCAGUUCCUGCGAAACACCAUCAAAAGUUUACGCUCAUUUGUAUAUGUUUUCUCUAUUGACCAUGGGGUGCUGUCAUCUAACACUUCAUGUUGCUGCUAGGGUUGAAUCACAGUUAAGAGCUAAACUAGAGAUAUCUGCCAUACAAACUGUCUAUCAUUAAGGAGAAUCUGAUCUAACUUCAUGUUUGAGUUCAGUUAAUUAAGCAUGUGCAAAUGCUCUGCAGUUCCAACAGAUGUAAAAUCAACAGUAGAAGGAGCAUUCUUUUAAUUAAUUUAUACACCAGAAAUAUUUAACUUGUGGAAGCAUAACUAUCAACCUACUAACAGUUUGCUGUUGAUCCAACAAUGUAGAUUUACCAUCAGUUGGAUGUGGACUUACCACGAAGGUGCUCUUUAAGUGUCCCAUUAUGCAUGAACUCGUACACUAGUAUGUUUUUGCCAUCUUGCUGACUGUAACCAAGGAAUGUAACCAGGUGUCUAUGAUGUAUCUUGGAUAGCAAUGUCACCUGAAACAAGAUGUUAGCCAGAUUUAUAUAUGUAAGAACACUUCAAGUUCCAUAUUUCAGGCUACCAGUAACAGGAAAUUGCAUAUAAAAAUAUAGAGAAGGAUUAUGCAACUGUUUUUCUCCUUCAGAGGUCAUUACAUAAGAAACAGGGGUAAGCAUAUGACAUAUCAGGCCCUAGCAACGCAGGGCCCCAAGCAAUACUAAUGAAGCUAUCUCUAUCUCUUCCAUUUGUAGGAGAAAAUAAGGUGAGUAUGGGAACAGACCUCAUUCAAGAAUUCUCGGAUUCCCUGAUAGGAGUCAUUUGUGAGAAGUUUGACCGCAAUCUCUCUCCCAUCAGCCAGCUUUCCAUAGUACACAAUACCAAAGCCUCCAGAGCCAAUUCUUCUCUCAAAUUUGUCAGUAGCAUCUUCAAUUUCAGAUAAAGAAAAUCUGUGUGCUGAUUCUGUAGCUACUUCACUAAAAUAUGAGCCAAGUUUUUUUGCUGGUGCUGCAAUAACAACAGUGUCUGGAGAUGGCAAAAGAAUCACUGUAUGCCCUAGCAUAAUAUCAAUAUACCAAUUGAGCUAAAGAGUGUGUACCUUCAUGAGAUUUCUUCUUUCUCCUACAUGUAAUGAAAUAGCAUCCAAUAGCAAUACCCAGUAGGACAAUGGCUCCAAUCACCCCACAUAUAACAAUUAUGGUGUGGCUAAUGCCAUUGGUUACUAUGUGAAGGCCACUGUUGCCUGAGAAGCUGCAGGCAUGUAACAAUUUAGAACAUAUGGGAGUCAUGCGACCAUUCUAAGAACAGCAUAGCUAUUUGAUCUACAUAUGUAUGCAUUUUGGUGUCACUGAAAAGUGAAGGCUGUCAAGCCACAUUAGUGUUCAAAAGCAUGAUCUGAAAUUAAUAGUCUGUUGUAAGGACAGGAUACUAACUUCAAAAUAAUGCUUCUCUUGAAAAGUGCCUUUGGAACCUGCCCAGACAACUUGUUGUUUUGAACAUAUCUGCAAAAGUUUUAGUUCAUAAGAGGUCCUGUUUUCCAUAAAAAUCCUCACCAAGAUGUACUCAUAUCAAAAAGCCUAAAUCACUCACAUCAAUUUGAUAUUUGGUUUCUUGACCAGAAAAAUGUAAGUAAUGAAUACAAAUAAAAAAAAAUCAGAAAGGAAAAUAAAUUGAAGAGAUAGUACAAUAUGUGCUCCAAAGUAUGGAGAAUAAGGAAAGGUGCACACAACGAUGUGUAACUUACAACUCUUUGAGGUUAGGUAGGUCUCCCAAAGAAGAUGGCAAUUCCCCAGUUAAUUGAUUGUUCUCAAGGUGACUAGAAUGAAGAAAAGCACCAUAUUUUAGUACAAUCAUUUCAGAAUAACAUAUUACCAAAAUAAGUAAAUAAUGGAAACUCACAUAUACUGCAAAUUAUGGCAUUCGCUGAAAUCAGGAAUUUGGCCAGAAAAUGAAUUACCAUCAAGCCUUCUGCAUUAACAGAAACAAUUCGAUCAGACAACAGAAGCCAAAUACUUGGACAAGAUAAAGAUAAAGUAUUCAGUUCUUACAGCUCAACCAGCCCUGAUAACUUUGUCAGUUCCACAGGGAUACUCCCUGUAAUGUUCUUCCCCGACAAUGUGCUGCAAGAAAAAAAUUAUUAGGUGCCAUUCAUCAAGGUAGGCAAAAAAUUGAAGGUAGAAUUGACAUGGUUGUCAUACAUUGAGAAUAUCCUUGGAGAAGCAUCUGAACUGCAUUGCACCCAGGACCAUGAUGCUGGCAAGCACGGAUCACCACCCUCUUGUGCCCAAUCUUCCUGUGGAUAUCGUGAUACCAUGGUGGCCAUGAUAUUUGCUGUCAAUGUUGCAUACACCAAUUCAGUCCCAAAGUGGAUUUCUUAUUCAGAAACAUAAGGGAUUGUUGCAGCUAGGACAAAGAAAAGGUAGCAGAACCGUGCACAAUUGCUUACCAUCUUGUGAUCCAAUAGUAAUUUGGACAUAUUUGUAAAUCUCCAGGGCAUUCAAAAUAGGUCCCUUUGAAGAAUCAUUUGUCUUCCUGAACCCAAACGAGAAAACAAACGGAAGUGUCAAAUUCGUGUAGCCCGGUUCAUACAAACGAUAUUUCCCUUGAGCAUUCUCCUCCACAUCCACAGUUGGUUUACUGAGUGCUGGCAUGCCAGGGACCUCUAACUUAAAUUUCCUUGUUUCGUUUGGUGCCAAAUCUUCAAUUUCUGCAAAAUAUGAGACUCCCCAAGCAUUUGCUGGGAAACCUUCCAAAUCAAGGCGGUAGUUCAAUGACCCAUCCUGGCCAACUACUGCUGUCUGCAUGACCUUCUCAGGUGGUUCUUCGUUGGUACCGACGAAUAUGGGUUUUGUAGUUGAUAUUCUUUCAGUCCCUGGAGCAACAUCAACAAGGUAAUUUGCUCUCCUCACAGAAUCAGAUUCCCAGAUUCUAUCAAAUGGGUCAUCAGGGUAUCUGUGGAACAAGAAUAUUCAUUGUUAAUAACUGUGGUCAGGUGUGAAACCUAUGUACAAGGCAUGAGUAUGCAGUGCACGGAGUUGUGCAGUGUUAGUACCUCACUGAAUCAUUGCUUCCUGCGCCAAAAUUGGUCCUCGCGGACAGUCCAAGAAAGAAGCGCGUCUCGUCAGUGGUGUAGUAGAGGGAACCAUUAAACUGUCGAAGCUCGAGAGUGGAGAUGAAGGGCUGUCCCGUGCUGGCAUUGGAGAGGCAGACACUGAGCGUGGGAGCAGCCGCCAAGAUAAUGGCUUCCUCAACAACGGGUGUGGUGGCGUCAUCAACGACAAUAGUGGACCAGGUAGACGCGCCGAUGGAGAUGUCGAACUUGGGGUAGACGUUGCUGUUGUCGAAGUUGCCGUAGAGGAAAGUGGCCCUGACGAGGUAGCGCGUCCGGUUCCUGACGUUCAUGGUGUAGCAGUACUUGCGGUUGUCCGCGGGGAAGUAGCGCACGGUGGUCAGCUGCUGCUGGGCGGUCUGGACCUGCAGCUGCGCGGUCUGGCCGCCGCCGGAGACGAAGGUGGCGUCGGAAGUCCAUUGGAUCCCGAUAGCAUCUGUGUGAUCGCGAGCUCCCCCGCAGUCCAAGCUGAUGAAACCUGCAGGAUGGGUUUAGAUUUACCAAAGCUGCUAGCUAGUUGCUUACUCUCAUUUGUGGAAUGGAAUGCAAUUGCAAACUAAGUAAUUAUUAUUAAGGGGACCCCCAAAAUCGAACAGCGUCCUCGACUUGCAAUAUACUACCUCUACUUACUAGUAUUUCGCAAAUCUCCUGGAGAAGCUGGAGCAUUUCGCCCCCAUGACAUUCAUUGGCUGGCUAUGAGUAUGUAUGAAUGCGUAAAGUAAACAAAACGAAUCUUAAUUUGGAGAUGGGGAAGAAUAGAAUGGGGAAGGGAUGCAAUAUAAUGCAGGGUGGCUCACCAGGCUGCGCAGCGGACGGCGAGAGGAGGAGGAGGAGGAGGAGAGCAGCGGCGGCGGCGGAAGCCAUGGAAGAAGUUGGCUUGCGAGGAGGUCCUCCGCCCACCGUCCUCCUCUCUCGCAGUCGCAGUCGCAGGUAGGGGAGGGGCAGGGAGGGAGCAAGAGCAGCUCCCCCAACUGCGCUGCUUCUGCAGUUCUGCUGCAGCUGUUACUACUGUUACAGCUGUAGAUUAUGGUGGACAUGAGCUGAGAUGGUUGGAGAAAACUCCAACUCCCAGCUCCACCUGCCAAAAAAACCCUGUUUCCCGCUCACAAUAAAUCAACAAAUAAUAUUUUUAAUAAUAAUUUUUUAUUUCCCAAUCAACAACUGAACAAGACCACGAACACCAAGAUCUUAUUUAAUUUCUGAAAAGAAAAGUUUUACAUACUAUAGCACAUUUAUAACUAUAGUUAUUAGUGUUUAAUUAUAAAUUAAUUAGAUCUAAAAGAUUUAUCUCAUAAAAUACAUAAUAAUUAAUUAUUUUUUAAUUUAUAACAUAGCCGUCUUCAUGCGGACGAAAAGAAGAUGGAGGUGGAAAUCCAACUUUUCUUUUCUACCACUACCACACCUUCCCGUCUUCAUGCGGCGCUCGUCUUUAACUAGUGAUAAAGUGACUGAUUACAAAUAAAGUAAUUUAUUAUUAAUUAAACAAAUGGAGAUAGGCAGACAUUGGUCGUUGGAGAGAGGAAUGUGUGGGACAGCAGGGGGCUGACUGUCUGCGCCGUAAAAACCGGAACGGAACGGAAUUUGGGAUUUUGGGACUUUGGGUGGGAUCCCGAUCGAAUUUCCUAUCUAUAUCCGAUCCGAUCCGUGCAACAAAACACAAAUCAAAAUCCAUCCGAGGAGCUUUGGUGCCAACUCAACACUCCUUAAACGCCCGGCUUUCGCCACCCACCGGCCACUUCUGUGUCAGCUUUAGGCCCGGUUUAGUUCACCAUCUAAAAAAUUUUCAUCCAUCCAAUCGAAUCUUUGGACACAUAAAUAGAACACUAAAUAUAGAUAAAAAAUAAACUAAUUACACAGUUUGGUUGAAAAUCGCGAGACGAAUCUUUUAAACCUAGUUAGUCCAUGAUUAGUCUUAAGUGCUACAGUAACCCACAUGUGCUAAUAACAGAUUUAAUUAUACUUAAUAGAUUUUGUCUUACAGUUUCCUGACGACCUAAAAACCCCUUCCGAUAUCCUUCCGACACAUCUGACGUGACACCCAAAAAUUUUUCAUCUCCAAUCUAAACAGGACCAUUAAUCCACUUCCAUCUCACCAUCUGUGUCAGCUUUACCUCAAAUGGGGUAUCAGCACGUCCCUAGCCACUAGCCAGUUUGCUUAGUUGGCUUCGACGGCACCUAAGGCGCCGUUUGUUCGCCACGGUAAACUUUGACUCUCUGUUUAAACUUUCACUGUCCUCAUAUUGAGUGUUUAGAUAUAUGUAUGAAGUACUAAAUAUAACUAUUUAUAAAAUUAAAAAUAUAAUUAGAGAAAUUUGCAAAACAUCCAUGAUUAGACACUAAGAGCUUGUUUGGCAGGGCUCCUCAUGAGGGACUCCUCUAGAGGUGUUAGAGCCAUUUUGACAAAACGUUUACUUAAAAAAAAUGAAAAUGUUUAGCAGGGCUCCUCUGAAGAACUCAGAGGUCAGAGCCAGAGUCGGAGAGGAGCCCUGCCAACUACGUUACAUGGAUACGGAUACGGUUAUCGGAUACAAUACGUAUCCGACACGCGGAUACGCUAUUCUCCAAAAAACAGUGACACGGAGAUACGGCUAAUACUUUUUUAAUAAUAAUAAUAAUAAUAAUAAUGCCAUGAUUUAGUAUAAAAUAACAUAGUUUACAACUUCAAAUGUCGCUCAUCCAUAGAUCACAUGCAUGUUCACAAAUAACUGAAUUUCAGAUACGGACAUGGAGCACAUCACAUGUUGCAAAACUACAACUACAAAGAUCGUUGAUGGCCUGGACUAGGACUAGGGCUAGAGGUAGAAGGAUGCAGUUGCAGAUCACCUAAGGGCGAGGAGAUUUCGAGGAGGGCGUCUUUGGCUCGCCGUCGUCAGCUACUUGCAAUUGCACAGCCGGGCCGCCGCUGGCUGAUCGCCGCCGCCAAGUCACAACUCACGAGUCAAAGUGCAAGUGCGGGAGCUGGGAAUAGGAGUCGAUACGGUGCCGACGCACGUUCUAGUACAAUGCGAGCCAGGAAGACAGUGCGUCACGUAAUGGAAUUUGGGCCAUUUUCUUUCCAUGGGCCAUGUCCAAAUCGGCCCACACGUAUGAGAUACUCGUAUCCAAUCUGAUACGUAUCCAAAUUUGUUAGUAUGACCUAGAUACGUAUCCAUGGCGUAUCCAAGCCAUAUCUGUAUCCGUGCGCGAUCCCCCUGCCGUCUCCGUGCAUCGUAGCCUGCCAAACAGGCCCUAAUUACCAAAUAAAAUUAAAAUGUUACGAUACCUGUUAAACUUUAACACAUCCAAUCAAACAAAACCCUAAGUUCGAUACCUCUCUAGAGCGGAUUUCAGGCUUGAGGAUACAAUUAAAAAUACAAAUUAUAUGAAAAGGUUUUAUUGCACUAUUUUCAAGACUGAUAUAUCAUAAGAAAAUGAAACUUGGAUAAAAUAUCCACUCUUAAUGUAAAGUUUUAUUUUAAAGUUUUAUAAGCAUUUAAUUCUAAGACUCAUAGAGAAUUGGUAAUCGUGGCGAGACGAUUUCAUAUGUUUCAAAAUAAGUGCAUAUCUUGUACUUUGAGAAGUCAAUCAAUCUUAAAUUUGACCAAAGAUAUAAAAAAACACAAUGUUUAAUUUGUGAUUUCAAAUAAACACCAUUAGCUUAACCACAAACAUGUAUUUUUCAUAGUAAAAUUGUUGGAGAUAAAAAUACCGAUAUUAUUUUCUAUGAAUCUAGAUAGACUUGAGAUUACUUGACUACUCAAAGUGUGAGAUAUGCACUUAUUAUUUUGAUGAAAUGGAGGGAAUAGACCCUUUCCUGUAUUUUUAAUAUAUACAAACAACAACAAAUAUUAUAUUAUAUUAGAUAUGUGUAUGCUAUCGGAUAUGAUUUUUUUUUAGGCAUGACAAAACGUCUAUAAAAAUGACUAGCCGCUGUAACUUUUACCAGAAAAGGAAAAAAUUGUUAUGGUAGACCAAUCUGCUAGCCAUUCAAUAGUAUUUUUCUCUCACAACAAAUCAACCAACGGUAUUUUCUGCUAUGGUUUAUCAGCCAAACGAACAAGGCAGAGUUGUACGUUUAUGUUUCAGUAAUGGAAAACACGUGUAAUAACUGCAGAGUAAAGCUUCCAUAAGGCCAAAUGGGCCAUCUAAACAAUUUCUUAUAAUAAAUAUAGUAAGUAAUUACGAGUAAGUACCUCAUCCCACCACUCAAGUGACAAGAAAAUACUAAUAAUAAGUAAUUACGAGUAAGUACCUCUUUUUGCUAGUAGCUAACAUAACAUGUCAUCCUUGUCAAGCAAAGCUUGGCCUUGUUUAGUUCUGACCUAAAAACUUUUCGUUCUAUCACAUGAAAUGUUUGGAUAUAUGUAUAAAACAUUAAAUAUAGAUUAGAAAAUAAUUAAUUAUAUAGUUUGCAUAUAUUUUACGAGAUGAAUCUUUAAAUCUAAUUAGUCUAUAAUUAGAUACUAAUUAUUAUAGUUAUAAAUGCGCUAUGGUACCUAAUUUUUUCUAAUUAAACAAGGCUUUAGUUUAAUUGCACCGGAAGGCAAUGAGCAAUGCCAUGGAUGGAUCUACAUGCAUGUCAGCUUUGAUUUGCCCUUUGACAUCACUGCAUUUGCUGCCAGGUAGCUGGACUGGCUUCACCCAAAAAAUCAAAAACUUUUUAAGAUUUCCCGUCACAUCGAAUUUUGCGGCACAUGCAUGAAGCACUAAAUAUAGAUAGAAAUAAAAACUAAUUGCACAGUUUACCUAUAAAUCGCGAGAUGAAUCUUUUAAGCCUAAUUACUCCAUAAUUAGACAAUAUUUGUUAAAUAAAAAUAAAAAUGCUACAAUUUCGAAAACCAAAAAAAUCGGAACAAGACAUGCACACACACAGCUCCAGCAGUACCAUGCAUGAAAAGCAGGCCCUGAAUCAUCACUUCAGACAGUAGUACUCCAUGAUGCAUCAUUGUAGCCGCAUGCAGCAUGCUAAUGCGUCUUUCUCUCUCUCCGCAUGUGUCAAAAAGGUGAUUUGGGUGGGAAAAUCGAGAACAAAUUAACUAAGAGUUGAAUUAGGUUUUACUAUUUUGUUUUUGAUAAUUAUUGUCAAUCAUGAACUAACUAGGUUCAAAAGAUCGUCUCGCAAAUUACAGAUAAAUUAUAUAAUUAGUUAUUUUUUAUCUAUAUUUAAUAUUUCAUGCAUGCGUCUAAAGAUUCGAUGUGAUGGAAAAUCUUGAAAAUUUUUGUGAACUUUAGAUCCAAAAUCAUUUUAGAUUUUGAUAAUGUAACACUUUCAUUUAUAUUUGAUAAGUAUUGUCCAAUCAUAAACUAACUACUCUCAAAAGAUUCGUCUGCAAAUUACAGACAAAUUGUACAAUUAUAUAUAUAUAUAUAUAUAUAUAUAUAUAUAUAUAUAUAUAUAUAUAUAUAUAUAUAUAUAUAGAGAGAGAGAGAGAGAGAGCAAGUACUGUUGUACGUCUACUAAAACCUACUCCUUCUGUCUCAAUAGAAAUAAUGUUUUUGACUUUUAGUUACCGUAUUUCAUCACUCGUCUUACUUUUUUUUUACAAAUUAUAAAAUAAAUAAAUUAUUAUUAAAAUAUCUUAAAUAAUAAAAUAGAUGAUAUUUAUAUAAAUAUUUUGAAUAAGACGAGUGGUCAAACAAGAUAACACAAGAUCUAAAAUGUCAUUUUUGAUGAGACGAAGGGAGUAAAAGCAAGUAUUAUAAUAACAAUAAUCAACCUGUUCGCUUAAGCUUAUAAGUUGAAUUUAUGUAGUAUUUUUCUCUCACAACAAACCAGUAAAUAGUAUUUUCUGUCAUAGCUUAUCAUGACCAAACCAACAAGGGCCCUAAGACCCAAAAUUCGGUGUGGGUGCAGAGUCUCUUGUCCCACCUAUGAGCAACACGCGGUGAUUGAGGAAGCCGAACCAUGUCGUUGUCUUUGCCAUAUGACACGUAUGAGGGUUAUGGUAACCAUGGACGCCCGUCAUUUUGGGAUUUAGGGCUAUGGCUCCAAUAUCCUCUCGCCUUAAUUAGAAGGUGGCCACUGACGACUGACCUGAGGAUGUCAUGGCGUUUCGACAGGUAUGGUAAUAAGGCAAGGGGAAUCAUAUGGGAAUAGAAAGCUACAGUGGAAUUAGGAGGUGGCUCAAAAUUAACUAGGUUUAUAUAUUCCAUAUUAAUCCUAUAUGAGAUAAUCUCUAUCUACAAAAAUUAAGUCUAUUUCUGAGCUCACGUCAUCCCUAUAUGCACUUUGUCUACUGAGGUACAUCAAUACAUGAAGAUAAUUUUUUUACUAAUGAUGUUGAACUGGGAUCAUCCCUGCUCAGCUGCCCUAGAUAGGCCACACAGAAUUUAUGGCCAAUUACUUGCUGUCCCAAUUAGAACAAGUUUAAUUUUUAAUUAAUGGAUCGCAAAAGCAUGUUCGUAUAAUUGCAUACGUCCUCCGUACCAGGAUUAGAUGACAUUUAGGACAUGAUUGUGCUUACCAAGGAGUCAUUAAUUAGGGGCUAAUCUUCCGGUUUUGCCUUUAUUAAAUGGAGCCGAAAGUGUUCCCUAGACAUGAGAGAUUCUCUUCUCUACUGGUUAUUGGGGCUGGUUUUGAGGUGCCCAUGGGUGAGGGCAGGGGUUCGAAUCCCAUGUCCUAUGCGAAUCAGUCGACAUUUUGUACAAAUUUUACGAGUCAAAACAAGUUCGAUAGCCCAUUCAUAACACAAGCAAUCCUCUUCAACUCGUACCGAAGGCUAUGUCCCAGUAAGCAUUUCCUCUGUUUCCUUGUUUCCCGCCUCUGACCGUAAUGCUCACAACUUCCCUCUAGACCUAGCUGCUCUUGAAGUUCCAUCUCUUAAUGGAUAUCAAAUAUAAUUGCUUGACUUUUUCAAUUAAGUUCAACUUUGAACUUACAGAAAUUUUGUAAAAAAAAAUCUAUACCCUCCCAUGGAAGGGUGGUUUUGAUUUUUAGGCUAGUUGAGUAGUUUUGCCCCCUAGGAUAAAGAAGAAGAAGGGGCUGAGAAAACUCGCAAGAAAAGUUCCAACCGAUCGUCUACUUAAAUUCGAACGGGUUUUCAAAGCACAAAAACGCAUACAUAUGUCUGUUUUCAAAGUAGGAAAACCUAACCUUUUUCUGCAUUAGGCACUAAUCUAUUUUUAACGUCUAAUUAGAUCGGGGAAUCCUUCCAAUUAACCAAUUAAGAAGUUAAGCUCGUUGCUUUUUUUUAUUUUACCAG